rnacentral:rRNA from 1 species
UACGGAGGAGGCAAGCGUUAUCCGGAUUUACUGGGCGUAAAGCGUGUGCAGGCGGUUUCAUAAGUUGUGCGUGAAAGCUUCAGGCUAAACCUGAAGAGGCCGUGCAAGACUGUGAAACUAGAAUCCAUCAGAGGCAAGCAGAAUUCCAGGUGUAGUGGUGAAAUGCGUAGAGAUCCGGAGGAACACCAGUGGCGAAGGCGACACGCUGGGCCAUACCUGACGCUAAAGCGCGACAGCAUGGGGAGCAAACGGG